UACGUAGGGUGCAAGCGUUGUCCGGAAUUAUUGGGCGUAAAGAGCUCGUAGGCGGUUUGUCGCGUCUGCUGUGAAAACGCGAGGCUCAACCUCGCGCCUGCAGUGGGUACGGGCGGACUAGAGUGCGGUAGGGGAGAUUGGAAUUCCUGGUGUAGCGGUGGAAUGCGCAGAUAUCAGGAGGAACACCGAUGGCGAAGGCAGAUCUCUGGGCCGUAACUGACGCUGAGGAGCGAAAGCGUGGGGGAGCGAACAGG
rnacentral:rRNA from 1 species